rnacentral:lncRNA from 1 species
GCUACUCACCCCAAAACACUGAAGAUAGGGCAGCAGACAUUUUAAAGUUGUUUUGUGACUGUUUUUCAUGUUAAUUUAGGGCACAAUUAUGGUUGCAAAGGUAGUUAAGUGUUCGCAAAAAGUGUUUUGGGGUGGGAUUUGCUGGUAGGUAGCCAGUACCAAUCUGUGAGGGGUAGAAUGAGGGGGCGGGAAGGUUAGUUUGAAGAGGGCAGGCUUUCCACGAUGACAGCACUUUCCCUAUCAUAAUUUCACCCUACCAAAAACCCUUCAAAAUCCAGUGGACAUACAUAAGAAUUGCCGUAGAAGUCAGUUGGAACAAAACAGCGCGCAUUGACGCAACGAAAAUCCAAAGUCGGAAGAAAAUAAGAGCGCGAAGAAACGUUGUUUUCUGGUUUCUCAAGGGAAGAUAAUGGAGUGCUGUCUUCUGUACUGAACAUGGAUGGUUAAGUGCGCUACAAAAAUGACAGAAGAAAGUGGGUCGGCAAGCACCAACGGGUCUACACCCAGAGCGCCCAUUUCUGUCCAGCUGCAGAGCAGGACUCAGGCCUGUCCUCGACCACAGGCCACCGAAUACAAACACUGACCUAAGAGAUUUGUCUUGUUCUGCAGCAGAGCAGAGGGGAGGUUUCAACAGUUUGGAAAAACGGCUCAUUUUGGAGAUGCAGAUGUCCCUGGUGGGGACGGGGAGGAAGAUGAGGAGGAGGAAGAUGAGAAGGCAACAUCCAGGCGAGCAGGGUCAUAGACCAAACAGUCAUUCCUUAUAUUCUGUCUAGCUGUUUUGUUUG